AUCCAGUUGACGAGUCCCGAAUAGAACGAAACGUACAUCCGGGAU
rnacentral:hammerhead_ribozyme from 1 species